UACGGAGGGUGCAAGCGUUAUCCGGAUUCACUGGGUUUAAAGCGCGCGUAGGCGGCUUUGCAAGUCGGGUGUGAAAUCCCCAGGCUUAACCUGGGAACUGCUCGGUAUACUGCUUUUCUUGAGCCACUUAGGGGCUACCGGAACAAAUGGUGGAGCGGUGAAAUGCGUAGAUAUCAUUUGGAACGCCAAUGGUGAAAACAGGUAGCUGGGAGUGUGCUGACGCUGAGACACGAAAGCCAGGGGAGCGAACGGG
rnacentral:rRNA from 1 species